GAUGAACGCUGGCGGCGUGCCUAAUACAUGCAAGUCGAACGAACAGACGAUGAGCUUUCGCCUCUGACGUUAGCGGCUGGCGGGUGAGUAACAAGUGGAUAGCCUACCUAUAAUUCGUGGAUAACUUCGUGAAACCGGAUCUAAUACCACAUCAUAUGUUCUACCGCAGUGUUCAAUAGUUAAUGACGGUUUUCCCGUUUCUUAUAGCUGGUGCCGCGCCGCAUUAGCUAGUUGGUAAGGUAAAGGCUUACCAAGGCAACGAUGCGUAGCCGAGCUGAGAGGGUGAUCGGCCACACUGGAACUGAGACACGGUCCAGACUCCUACGGGAGGCAGCAGUAGGGAAUCUUCCGCAAUGGGCGAAAGCCUGACGGAGCAAUGCCGCGUGAGUGAUGAAGGCCUUCGGAUCGUAAAACUCUGUUAUUAGGGAAGAAAAAAUGUGUAAGAAAACAUGCCUGUUUUGACGGUACCUAAUGAGAAAGCAACGGCUAACUACGUG
rnacentral:rRNA from 1 species